AUGGCCAGCAGCUGGCAAGAGGGGAAGCUCGAGGCCGUCGAUCUGGAGCACAUACCGGUCGAUGAAGUGUUUGAGAACCUUCAGUGCAGCCACAGGGGGCUCACUUCCAAGCAGGCACAGCGGCGGCUGCAGAUCUUUGGCCCGAACAAGCUCGAGGAGAAGGAGGAGAGCAAGUUCCUCAAGUUUCUUGGGUUCAUGUGGAAUCCACUGUCAUGGGUCAUGGAGGAAGCGGCGAUCAUGACCAUCGCUCUGGCAAACGGAGGGGGGAAGCCACCAGACUGGCAAGACUUCAUCGGUAUCAUCCUCCUGCUGCUUAUAAACUCGACAAUCACUUUCAUAGAGGAAAACAAUGCUGGAAAUGCUGCCGCCGCGCUUAUGGCCCGCUUUGCACCAAAAGCCAAGGUUCUCCGUGAUGGUCGUUGGACCGAGGAGGAGGCCGCCGCCCUUGUGCCCGGGGACAUCAUCAGUAUCAAACUUGGAGAUAUCAUUCCUGCCGACGCCCGCCUCCUAGACGGCGAUCCUUUGAAGAUUGAUCAGUCUGCCCUGACCGGAGAAUCGCUACCAGCCACCAAGGGGCCUGGUGACGCCGUCUACUCUGGUUCGACGGUCAACCAAGGCGAGAUCGAGGCCGUUGUCAUAGCAACUGGUGUGCACACUUUCUUUGGGAAGGCCGCACAUCUCGUCGACUCCACCAACCAAGUUGGCCAUUUCCAACAGGUGUUAGCAGCCAUCGGGAACUUCUGCAUUUGCUCCAUUGCUGUGGGAAUCGUCAUCGAGAUUAUUGUCAUGUAUCCUAUCCAAAACAGGGCGUACCGCCCCGGGAUCGACAACCUUCUGGUGCUUCUCAUUGGAGGCAUUCCCAUAGCGAUGCCCACAGUCUUGUCGGUCACCAUGGCGAUUGGAUCUCAUCGCUUGUCUCAACGGGGAGCUAUAAUAAAGAGGGUGACUGCAAUCGAGGAUAUGUCUGGCAUGGAUGUUCUUUGCAGUGCUAAAACUGGGACCCUGACUCUAAAUAAGCUCAGUGUGGACAAGAACCUUAUCGAGGUUUUUGAAAAAGGAGUAACUCAGGACCAGGUAAUUUUGAUGGCUGCUAGAGCAUCCCGGAUAGAAAAUCAAGACGCCAUUGAUAUGGCAAUAUUUGGGAUGCUAGGCGAUCCAAAAGAGGCGCGUGCUGGUGUGCAAGAGGCCCAUUUCCUGCCGUUCAACCCUACCGACAAAAGAACCGCGUUGACAUACAUUGAUGGCGAUGGAAAGAUGUACCGUGUUAGCAAAGGUGCACCAGAGCAGAUUCUCAACCUGGCCCACAACAAGUCAGAGAUCGCACAAAAAGUCCACGCUGUCAUCGACAAGUUCGGGGAACGUGGACUUCGGUCACUUGGUGUAGCAUAUCAGGAUGUGCCAGACGGGAGGAAAGAGAGUGCGGGUGGGCCGUGGCAUUUUGUUGCUCUCUUGCCACUCUUUGAUCCACCGAGGCAAGACAGCGCUGAAACAAUUCAAAGGGCACUUAGCCUUGGUGUGAAUGUAAAGAUGAUCACAGGUGACCAGCUAGCGAUCGGGAAGGAAACAGGGCGUCGUCUAGGAAUGGGUACAAACAUGUACCCUUCAUCUGCUUUGCUGGGGCAGAACAAGGAUGAGUCUAUUGCUGAUUUACCAGUCAAUGAUCUAAUUGAGAAAGCCGAUGGUUUUGCUGGCGUAUUCCCAGAGCACAAAUAUGAGAUUGUGAAACGCCUGCAAGCACGGAAGCACAUUUGUGGAAUGACUGGCGAUGGCGUAAAUGAUGCACCAGCCCUGAAGAAAGCUGAUAUCGCCAUAGCAGUUGCCGAUGCGACCGCUGCAGCGAGGAGUGCUUCUGAUAUCGUACUCACUGAACCUGGUCUAAGUGUGAUCAUUACUGCUGUCCUUACCAGUCGAGCAGUUUUCCAGCGGAUGAAGAACUACACUAUCUAUGCGGUCUCAAUUACAAUACGUAUUGUGCUCGAAUUUAUGCUACUUGCCCUCAUAUGGGAGUUUGAUUUCCCGCCAUUUAUGGUCCUGAUCAUCGCAAUUCUGAAUGAGGGCACCAUAAUUACAAUAUCGAAGGAUCGGGUAAAGCCUUCUCCGCUACCUGACAGCUGGAAGUUGGCUGAAAUUUUCACAACUGGGGUGGUUCUUGGCGGAUACUUGGCAAUGACGACUGUCAUUUUCUUCUGGGCUGCAUACAAGAUAACUUUUUCCCGGAGGGUCUUUCAUGUGAAAAGCCUUGAGAAGACAGAUCAAGAUGACUUCAAAAUGCUCGCCUCUGCUGUAUUCCUUCAGGUCAGCACCAUCAGCCAAGCUCUCAUCUUCGUUACAAGGUCCCGAGGCUGGUCGUUCGUCGAGCGCCCCGGUUUUCUCCUGGUCUUCGCUUUCUUGGUCGCGCAGCUGAUAGCUACAGUGAUCGCUGUAUACGCCGACUGGGCAUUCACUUCGAUCAAAGGCAUCGGAUGGGGCUGGGCCUGUAUCGUGUGGCUCUACAACCUCGUCUUCUACUUCCCGCUCGACAUCAUCAAGUUCCUCAUCCGAUACGCUCUGAGCGGGAAAGCACGGGAUCUUGCCAUUGACCAAAGAACCGCGUUUACAAGGAAGAAGCACUUUGGUAAGGAAGAGAGGGAGCUUGAGUGGGCCCAUGCACAGAGGGCACCCCGUGGGAUGCAUCCGCCGGAUGCCAAGGUGUUCCCUGGGCAUGUGGAGACGGUCGUGAAGCUGAAGGGCCUCGACAUCGACACCAUUCAGCAAUCUUACACCGUGUGA
rnacentral:rRNA from 1 species